rnacentral:rRNA from 1 species
AACGAACGCUGGCGGCAGGCUUAACUCAUGCAAGUCGAACGAUGUAGCAAUACAUAGUGGCGCACGGGUGAGUAACGCGUGGGAACGUGCCUUUUAGUUGGGAAUAACCACUGGAAACGGUGGCUAAUACCCGAUACGCCCUUCGGGGGAAAGAUUUAUCGCUAAAAGAUCGGCCCGCGUGAGAUUAGGUAGUUGGUGGGGUAAUGGCCUACCAAGCCUACGAUCUCUAGCUGGUCUGAGAGGAUGAUCAGCCACACUGGAACUGAGACACGGUCCAGACUCCUACGGGAGGCAGCAGUGGGGAAUAUUGGACAAUGGGGGAAACCCUGAUCCAGCCAUGCCGCGUGAGUGAUGAAGGCCUUAGGGUUGUAAAGCUCUUUUGUCAGGGAAGAUAAUGACGGUACCUGAAGAAUAAGCACCGGCUAACUUCGUGCCAGCCGCCGCCGUAA